rnacentral:rRNA from 1 species
GGACUACACGGGUAUCUAAUCCCGUUCGCUCCCCUAGCUUUCGCACAUGAGCGUUAGUAACUUGCCAGGACGCUGCCUUCGCCUUUGGUGUUCUUCCAGAUCUCUACGCAUUUCACCGCUCCACCUGGAAUUCCGCGUCCCUCUCAAGCCCUCAAGUCCGGCCGUCUUCAGUGCCCUGCGGGAGUUAAGCCCCCACCUGUCACACCAAACUGACCCGACCGCCUGCGUGCCCUUUACGCCCAAUAAAUCCGGACAACGCUUGCCCCCUACGUAUUACCGCGGCUGCUGGCAC